rnacentral:lncRNA from 1 species
UGGGAGGGGGUUGUGGAUGCUGGGGCACCCGACCAGGAAGGGAGGGUUGGGGUGAUGGUUGGACUGGCCGGAGAGUUGUGAGCGUGUUGUGGACCCAGUGAGAGGGCUGUAGCCCGGUAGGCAAGACUGGGAAUCCCCCCAGGACUGCAGAUGGGUUAGGUAGAGCCGCAGGCUGGUGGGAGGGACCAGAGACCUGGUGGGCGGGGCCUGGAGGGCAGGUUUGGGAGCCUGGGAGCCACAGCGCUUAGGGACCCUGUGAACCUGGCAUGUUUAUGUAUAUGGCGAAAGGGGAGGAGAGACCCAGAGCGGGCGGGGACAGGGAAGCGGCGGGCCCAGUAAGUGGGGUUAGAGACCGGGUUAGCUUUGGGAACCCAGGGGUGGGACUAGGAACCAAGUGUGGGGGUGGAGUCUGGAGGCCAGAUCCAAGGAAACGCUCAGAUCUGGAAAUGACUCGAGGUCGUCCUCCGGUGUGGGAACCCGGUUGGGCUGGUUGAAGCCUAGGCAGAAGACGUCUGCCUGCUUUUGAGCCAAAGCAGGGAAGAGGCAGUGAGCCAUUUCCAUUUACGUCUUCCCUGUUGAAGGAUAUUAGAGGCCCUGGGUUGCGGAGGAACUGCAAGAGGGAAGGGGAUGUUGACCCAGCUUGGAUUUUGUGUGAGUAAGGAGUAAGCCCUUAUCAUGUUAAACCAUGAAGAUUUGGGGGUGUCCUUGUUGCUACAGCCUUGCCUAGUCCGGCCUGACCGAUACAGAGCCUGAAGACUCGGACAUGACCACUACACAUUCCUGGAGCUUCACCUGAGCAGAUUCCACGGACAUACCCCCUGAGCCUGAGCUUGUGCAUGUGCGCGUGCACACCCUGGCAGACAGCCCUCUCCAGGAAACCGUGUGGGCCUCUUCAUCAUCAGGCAGAAAGUCUUCAGCCCUCUAAUUGCCGUCCUCGCUAACUCCCUGGCUGGCUGCCCAGCCUGAGCCCCUGGAGGAGAAAUGACUCCAAAUUCAGAGCAUAAACUCUGUGGCUGAUGUAUUAGAAUGUUCAGCGCAAGAAUUCAGAUGCCCACAAGUUAGGAUUUCAGAAUCCCGGUUCCCACAGCAACCGUCCCAGUGCUCCUGCGUAGUUUUCAAUGUUACUACAUGGGGUGGGGGAGGGGGAUUGAAUGAUGGCUGCAGUGUGUAUGACUGUGAGGUGUGUGCAUAUGAGUGUGUGUGAGGGACUGUGUGCAUAUGUGAUUACGACUGUGUGUGUGAAUGUGAUGUGUGUGGGGCAGGGGGGCUUUAGCUCUGCUCUGUAUCAUCUCUCUCUCUGGGUCUGGAAAACCACUUUCUCAUGCAUAAAGACAAAAAUGUGUUCUCCUAGAUCAGAAAACCCUAGAGGGCAGGGCCCAUGGCUGGGUCAGCCCUGUGUCCCCCACAGUGUCCAAGGCAAUGUUUGUUGAUUGACUGAAUGAAUGAGCAGCAGCUGCCAGCUCCAAGGCAGCUGGUUGAAAGCGGAUAACCUCGAGGGCUUUAUUUUUGUGUCAAGCAUUCUCCCAUCCCCUAUCCCAAGAAGGGAACCUGGCUUCUCUGUUCUCUGACUUCUGUGCUACAGGAACAAAAGCAGAAAUUACCUGGAACCGUCUUUCCAUCCAGGCCUCAUUUCACAGAGGGCCGAAUGGAAGAUCAGCGUUUCUCAGACAUCAUUAUCACCUUUUUUGUUUUGAGACAGUGUCUC